AGCGACUGUGAAACAGGAUGUAACCUGUAUUUAUGGUGAAACCUUUUCGAGGUGUUUCUGCGUUGUAUAUUCAAUUUAAGUGGUCUUCGCUGCCAUGGUUAGUUUGUUUAUUUGUUUGACUGGUUAGUUCAUGUGCAAACGGUAUUUGCCCAUGAUGCUUGUGGCCUCCUACGGCCAGGAAGCAGCAACCUUUCCUGUCACAAAAGAUCGAGAGGCUAAAGCAAGCUGGUUGUCCCAGUCAAGCGCUGUCCAGAACUUGUGAGAAGUUUUCAAAAGGGCUAAAAAAUCAGGCGACUGAAAGCGCAUCCUCCUCCCUGCGCGCGGUUACUUUCGGAUGGCUGAGCGCGCGGGACCUUCGUCUGCUCACUGGAGCGGUGGCUCAAUUCCGAUUCAGAAUACCAGCCGAGCUCGGAUUCGGACUCGGACUCGGACAGAGUCGCAUGCGAGGAAGAGGGUUCCGCAUCGUCAGAUUCGGAUGUUGAGCGGAUUUUAUAGUCAGGCUGAUGAUGAUGAUAAUGUUUACUAACAACAGCUGCAGAACACUGAAAUGUGCAUAUUGCAUUGACUGUUAUUUGUAUACCAAUCAUAAUCAAAAAUAAAUUGCUGUUUAUUCC